rnacentral:lncRNA from 1 species
UUAGGGUCUAAUUUUGGAAGAAAGGUGAUGAAAGUGAUAUAAAGUUGAUGGAGAUUGUGAGAUUGAUGAAUUUGGGAGGAAAAGGAAAGGGGGAAGUUUGAGGACCAUUGGAAUCAUUGUUAUCUGAUGGUCUGAGGGAGAAGUGAUAUUUGUAGUAGAGAGAGAGAGAAAUAUUAUCGAUGCUGGUUUGGUUGAGUUUCAACGGGAAGGGGAAAGGGGAU